rnacentral:rRNA from 1 species
AACUUUCAGCAACGGAUCUCUUGGCUCUCGCAUCGAUGAAGAACGCAGCGAAAUGCGAUAAGUAAUGUGAAUUGCAGAAUUCAGUGAAUCAUCGAAUCUUUGAACGCACCUUGCGCUCCUUGGUAUUCCGAGGAGCAUGCCUGUUUGAGUGUCAUUAAA